UUUGUAUGAUUUUAACCACACAACUCUGACAAAAUUUCUUUUUUCUUAUUGUAGGUUCAGAAUACCUUUUAUUUAAUGGAAAAUUUUGAUUUCAACGUCCAUGAUAAAAUAUUAUCUUAUUAUACUUAGAUUCUUCGUCUUUUGUUAGAACUUUUAGAAUAUCAAUGUAUUUUAUUGGGCAUGUGACUUCCUUAAAACCGAAAUCCCGAAAACCUCAACUGUCACGCAAUUUAACAACUUACUGAAAGUACCAUUUUGAUAACGGCGCAAUCAAAUAGAAAGAUCUUAAGUACAGGCUUAAAAAAUUGUAAGUAACAUCAUACGAGUAUCAUCAAUAGACUUGCCGUUCAACACUGUUAUCACUCAUUACACUACGUAUGAAAAGCUGAACACGCGCCCAAGAAGCCUUUGACGUAAUCGAUGAUUGCGAUUAAACAAAACAUGGUUUACGUUUGCGAAUGAAAUGGCGAUCCAAUGCGUAUUAAGCGCAGUAAAUAAUUCAUUGUAAAUUCGUAAUUAACUUUAAUAAUCGGCGAUUAAUUUUGACAAAUUAUGGAUUCCGUUGAUUCCGUAGAAGAUCGUCAGGAGAACAUCCGAAAGAAGGUACCCUUCGGUGAUGAAUAUAUUUAUGUUUGAAAUUGUAUAAAAUACAAAAAUAAAAAAAAAAUACUAUAGCCAUAGGUGAAUAAGGACUAGUAAAAUUUUGAUUUUUUACAAAAACGGUGAGUUUCAUAAAAUAGUAGUUUUUUGUGAAAAAUUU